AUGGAGGAAAAGAGGAGGAAGGAAGGGAAGAAGGAAGGGAUGAAGGAAAGGAGGAGGAAGGAAGGAGAGAAGGAAAGGAUGAAGGAAAGGAGGAGGUGAGGAAGGGAGGGAUGGAGGAAAAGUGGAUGAAGGAAGGAGAGAAGGAAGGGAUGAAGGAAAGG